rnacentral:rRNA from 1 species
UACGUAGGGUGCAAGCGUUGUCCGGAAUUAUUGGGCGUAAAGAGCUCGUAGGCGGUCUGUCGCGUCUGCUGUGAAAACUCGGGGCUUAACCCCGGGCCUGCAGUGGGUACGGGCAGACUAGAGUGCGGUAGGGGAGACUGGAAUUCCUGGUGUAGCGGUGAAAUGCGCAGAUAUCAGGAGGAACACCGGUGGCGAAGGCGGCACUCUGGGCCGAUACUGACACUGAGGAGCGAAAGCGUGGGGAGCGAACAGG